UUUCCCUAGGUGAACCUGCGGAAGGAUCAUUCAUAAUAAAGUGUUUUAUGGCACUUUUUAAAAAUCCAUAUCCACCUUGUGUGCAAUGUUAGAUCUCGUCAAUCUUGGCGAGAUUUUUAUACAUCAACUCAUUCUUUAACUAAUUUGUCUGAAAAAUAUUAUGAAUACUUAAUUCAAAAUACAACUUUCAACAACGGAUCUCUUGGCUCUC
rnacentral:misc_RNA from 1 species